UAAUACGUAGGGUGCGAGCGUUGUCCGGAAUUAUUGGGCGUAAAGGGCUCGUAGGCGGUUUGUCGCGUCGGGAGUGAAAACCCAGGGCUUAACUCUGGGCUUGCUUUCGAUACGGGCAGACUAGAGGUAUGCAGGGGAGAACGGAAUUCCUGGUGUAGCGGUGAAAUGCGCAGAUAUCAGGAGGAACACCGGUGGCGAAGGCGGUUCUCUGGGCAUUACCUGACGCUGAGGAGCGAAAGUGUGGGGAGCGAACAGGA
rnacentral:rRNA from 1 species